UAGGGAAUCUUCGGCAAUGGGGGCAACCCUGACCGAGCAACGCCGCGUGAGUGAAGAAGGUUUUCGGAUCGUAAAGCUCUGUUGUAAGUCAAGAACGGGUGUGAGAGUGGAAAGUUCACACUGUGACGGUAGCUUACCAGAAAGGGACGGCUAACUACGUGCCAGCAGCCGCGGUAAUACGUAGGUCCCGAGCGUUGUCCGGAUUUAUUGGGCGUAAAGCGAGCGCAGGCGGUUUGAUAAGUCUGAAGUUAAAGGCUGUGGCUCAACCAUAGUUCGCUUUGGAAACUGUCAAACUUGAGUGCAGAAGGGGAGAGUGGAAUUCCAUGUGUAGCGGUGAAAUGCGUAGAUAUAUGGAGGAACACCGGUGGCGAAAGCGGCUCUCUGGUCUGUAACUGACGCUGAGGCUCGAAAGCGUGGGGAGCGAACAGGAUUAGAUACCCUGGUAGUCCACGCCGUAAACGAUGAGUGCUAGGUGUUGGAUCCUUUCCGGGGAUU
rnacentral:rRNA from 1 species